rnacentral:rRNA from 1 species
GAGUCGAACGCUUUUUCUUUCACCGGAGCUUGCUCCAUCGAAAGAAAAAGAGUGGCGAACGGGUGAGUAACACGUGGGUAACCUGCCCAUCAGAAGGGGAUAACACUUGGAAACAGGUGCUAAUACCGUAUAACACUAUUUUCCGCAUGGAAGAAAGUUGAAAGGCGCUUUUGCGUCACUGAUGGAUGGACCCGCGGUGCAUUAGCUAGUUGGUGAGGUAACGGCUCACCAAGGCCACGAUGCAUAGCCGACCUGAGAGGGUGAUCGGCCACACUGGGACUGAGACACGGCCCAGACUCCUACGGGAGGCAGCAGUAGGGAAUCUUCGGCAAUGGACGAAAGUCUGACCGAGCAACGCCGCGUGAGUGAA